rnacentral:rRNA from 1 species
UGUAAAGUUCAAGCUCCGAUUAUGAGGGCGAAACCGCGAAUGGCUCAUUAAAUCAGUCAUAAUCUACUUGAUUGUUUAAAGUUUAUAUGGAUAACUGUGGUAAUUCUAGAGCUAAUACAUGCACAAAAGGGGCGACUCUCGCAAGGGAGAAGCUCUGCGUUUAUUAGACUAAGACCAAUGAGAGCGUCAAACCUCUCUGCUUAAUGGUGACUCUGAAUAAAUAAUGGGUGCAAGCCCAUGUUGCCGACCUGACAUACCAAAAAGUGUUGCCAUCUAGGUUUCACUUGUCAGGCAAAUCAAUCGAGUGUCUGCUCUAUCAACUGUGGAUGGUAGGAUAAUUGCCUACCAUGGUGAUGACGGGUAACGGGGAGUUAGGGCUCGACUCCGGAGAACAAGCCUGAGAAACGGCUAGUAGGACUAAGGUCUGCAGCAGGCGCGAAACUUACACAAUGCUAGAUUACCUUUUUAGCGAUGUAGUGAAGAAAAAUAACGAUGUACUUCCAUUUAAACAUGGUAGUACAAUUGGAAUGAGACGACUCUAAACCAGUCAGUCGAGUAACAAAUGGAGGGCAAGUCUGGUGCCAGCAGCCGCGGUAAUUCCAGCUCCAUUAGCAUACAUUAAAGUUGUUGCGGUUAAAAAGCUCGUAGUUGAAUUUCUAGCGGGUCCCUAUGGGGUGCAACCGUUCAAGGCUUCUAGUUGGGCUCCGAUCAUCAUCGCGAUGCUUCGUCCCCUAGUUUGCUGGUUGUCGCUUUCCACUUGGGGCCCGUUGUUUCGUCACUUAAUCAAGUGCGAAGCAGGCUGGAACAUCCAACUAACCUCGGUUAGUUAUGUCUCAGCAAGUUUACCUUGAGAAAAUUAGAGUGCUCACAGCAGGCAGUUGGGGUGUAAUAACCUCUUUAUGCUUGAAUAAUGUUGCAUGGAAUAAUAGAAUACGGCCUCGGUUCUAUUCUGUUGGUCUUAUAGAACAACAAAUAAGUUGAUUGAGGCGUUCAAAGGUCGGUUUGUGUGUGGGGCUAGAUUUUAAAUAGAUCUUGGCUUGUUUGUUGCCUGGGGCCUUAAAAUCUCAGUUGCCUUGCAGCCUUGUUAUCUAUUUAGCUAGCUAUUCCAAACCACUCCUUACUUGGCUAGCCUUUCCAAUCAACUGAGGCAAUGGUUAAAAGAAAUAGUCGCGGCGGCAUCAGUACUGCAUCGUGAGAGGUGAAAUUCUUAGACCGAUGCGCAAUAACAGGUCUGUGAUGC